rnacentral:snoRNA from 1 species
CUGCAUAUUCCUGUGACAGAGUCCUGUGGACAACAACUGAAACAAUCCAUGCAG